rnacentral:rRNA from 1 species
CCCUUAGAGUUUGAUCCUGGCUCAGGAUGAACGCUGGCGGCGUGCCUAACACAUGCAAGUCGAACGGGAUGCGUAUCGGAAAGCUUCGGCCGGAAGAUACGUUAUCUAGUGGCGGACGGGUGAGUAACACGUGGGUAACCUGCCUUAUGGAGGGGGAUAACAGAGAGAAAUCACUGCUAAUACCGCAUAAGCACACAGUACCGCAUGGUACAGGGUGAGAAGAUUUAUCACCAUAAGAUGGACCCGCGUCUGAUUAGCCAGUUGGCAGGGUAAAAGCCUACCAAAGCAACGAUCAGUAGCCGAUCUGAGAGGAUGACCGGCCACAUUGGGACUGAGACACGGCCCAAACUCCUACGGGAGGCAGCAGUGGGGAAUAUUGCACAAUGGGGGAAACCCUGAUGCAGCGACGCCGCGUGAGUGAAGAAGUAUUUCGGUAUGUAAAGCUCUAUCAGCAGGGAAGAUAAUGACAGUACCUGACUAAGAAGCCCCGGCUAACUACGUGCCAGCAGCCGCGGUAAUACGUAGGGGGCAAGCGUUAUCCGGAUUUACUGGGUGUAAAGGGAGCGUAGACGGAGUGGCAAGUCUGAAGUGAAAACCCUGGGCUUAACCUGGGGACUGCUUUGGAAACUGUUAAUCUAGAGUGUUGGAGAGGUAAGUGGAAUUCCUGGUGUAGCGGUGAAAUGCGUAGAUAUCAGGAAGAACACCGGAGGCGAAGGCGGCUUACUGGACAAUAACUGACGUUGAGGCUCGAAAGCGUGGGGAUCAAACAGGAUUAGAUACCCUGGUAGUCCACGCUGUAAACGA